UAGGGCUGCUGAAUUAUUUAGAUGUGGAAUGGGUCUUCUGAUAGCAAGAAUUAUGGGAAAGACUUGAGAUUUACAAGUUCAGACCUCGAAGCAGCAGAAAAAAUAAACAAGAGGAGACAGAGUGGGAAGGCUUCACACUGUGGCUCUGGGGCGAGCAGAUCAUGGGCUCUUGUGGCAGCGUGUGGCUGGGGAGGUAAGCUUUGAAGAUAACACCCCCUGCCUGCCUUUGACGCAGUCUUUCCAAGGCUACUGCCCUGCACCAGUACCCAGCUGAGCAAUGCCCUCUGUGCUGGCUCCAAGGCUGUGUCAGCGCCUCCACCUCCAUCCCCCAUGUGAACACCACCUUGAGAGAAGGAAACAUGUAAAGAUCAGCCUGGCAGUUCCCCGGCCAUAUCUCAGACAGAUGAGGGGACAAGAGAUUUGCACAAAGCUGAUCUGUGGAGUGCACAAGAUAAUUAUGCAAUAUACGCAUAACCUUUUUCCUUUGGACCUUCCUUUUCAAUAUUGUGAUAACUGUUGUAUUAGAAGCCUAAAUAUUGCAGCUGUAAGCACAUAGCUGUUUGGACACCAAGAACAUCCUAGGGGUUAGUGGGUGAUGUGGAUUGAUGUUGUGUUGGGUGACUGAAACUGGGUGGAUGCAUAUCAUUCCUUAUGGGACAAAGAGGAAAUCUUUGUUCUAGGAUUUAAAGGAUUUUCUGCCUCAGAAUUCUACGUGCUCAACCCAUCCUAGUCAAAUCUUAAUGUUUUAUUAAAAUACAGAAAUACAUU
rnacentral:lncRNA from 7 species